rnacentral:lncRNA from 1 species
CGAUGAUGUUACUUCAACCUUCAUUCACUAAAAGACACCAGUCAUUGAACGAUGUAUGUACUAGGUUCUCUCAUUUCCCGAAAAAUUGUCUUUGAGUAUUUAUAAUGGGAACCCGAAUGACCGUGGUAUGAUCCAUGUAACUCUCAACAUAAUGAUAUGAGUUAUCUCAAAUAUCACAUCACAUACUGUUUUUUUUUAAACUCAAAAUAAUCACGAUCUUCAUCACUACACAUCACUAUAAUUCAUGUUACUCUCUUCAUAAAAAUAUGAGACAUCUGAAAUGUUACAUCUAAAACUACUUCAAAAACACAUUAUUAUAUUCAAAAUAUAGCAAAUAGUAUGU